rnacentral:rRNA from 1 species
CCUACGGGUGGCAGCAGUGGGGAAUAUUGGACAAUGGGGGCAACCCUGAUCCAGCCAUGCCGCGUGUGUGAAGAAGGCCCUCGGGUUGUAAAGCACUUUCAGUGAGGAAGAACGCCUGGUGGUUAAUACCCAUCAGGAAAGACAUCACUCACAGAAGAAGCACCGGCUAACUCCGUGCCAGCAGCCGCGGUAAUACGGAGGGUGCGAGCGUUAAUCGGAAUUACUGGGCGUAAAGCGCGCGUAGGUGGCUUGAUAAGCCGGUUGUGAAAGCCCCGGGCUCAACCUGGGAACGGCAUCCGGAACUGUCAAGGCAGGGUGCAAGAGAGGAAGGGAAAAUUCCCGGGGCAGGGGGUGAAUUGGGAGGAGUCGGGAAGGAUACCAGUGGCGGAGGGGGCCUUCUGGACUUACACUGACCCUGGGGUUCGGAAGCGUGGGUAGCAAACAAGAAUAGGAACCCUUGGAGUC